GUCCUGCUCUAAGUCAUUUCAUAUUGUGUGA
rnacentral:piRNA from 1 species